rnacentral:lncRNA from 1 species
CCAAACUGUGCUGGGAGAGGCAGACCUUGUCCCUGAGGAUAAAGGAGGUACAAGUUCAAGAGAUUCACUUACAGCAUGGUGACUAUACUGAAUAACAGUGUAUUGUGAACUUGAAAAUCACUGGGAGAGCAGACUUUGUGUUCUCACCACAAAAAAUUUGUAAGUAUGUGGGAUAAUGUGUAUGUUAAUUAGCUUGAUUUAACCAUUUCACAAUGUAUAUGUAUAUCAAA